UUUUUUUUUUUUUUUUUUGAGACAGAGUCUUGGUGGUCGCCCAGGCUGGAGUGCAGUGGCGCGAUCUUGGCUCACUGCAAGCUCCGCCUCCCGGGUUCACGCCAUUCUCCUGCCUCAGCCUCCCGAGUAGCUGGGACUACAGGCACCCGCCACCACGCCUGGCUAAUUUUUUGUAUUUUUAGUAGAGACGGGGUUUCACCGUGUUAGCCAGGAUGGUCUCUACCUUCUGACCCCGUGAUCUGCCCACCUCAGCCUCCCAAAGUGCUGGGAUUACAGGCGUGAGCCACCACACCCGGCCAACCCUGGUCAUUUUAAGGCAAUUUUGAAGUGCAGGGUUCCCGCUCUGCCCAACAUGUAGGUCCCUGCACAGAUGUUGGCAUUUGUUACAGCACCUUUGGUCAACCUUCCCUUAGGGCCAGGGGCUAGUGUGUGCCUGCUGUAUACUUUUUGUAGCUCAGGGUUCAAAACCUCCAGUUUUCUGAGAAGUUGCCAAAGUCAACCUCCAUUGUUUUGAGGCAUAGUCACGUUGAAUCUCACCAGGCCCAGGAUUCUGUGACAAAGUCCCUCAGAGAAGAAGACCAUAGGAAGGCAUAGCCGUUCCCUAAGAGAUAACCCUGAGGUGACACAUGGCCUCCUCCUCUUAGGAACCGUGGGUAGCUCAAUCCGUCCUACAGUUGGCCUGAUGCUUCUGCAAUGCUGUUUAGAAUAACACCCCAUUUCCUACUGCAGCAUCUUCUACCUUGCUCUCCUGGAGGAAGAGAUCUUUUCCUUCAGGUCUCAGCUUAAAUGUCACCUCCUCAGAGAUGCCCUCUCUGACUGCCUUCAUUUAAAGGGCUCUGGCCUCUUAUUCUUUAGUUUAUCGCUUUGCUUUUUCUCUUCAUGAUGCUCAUCACAGUUUGUCAUGACACACUGGUCUGUCCUUCUCUAUGAGAUGUGAGCUUUGUAGGGGGAGAGGCCAUACCUCCUUUCUUCACCCAUGUAUCUCCAGGGUCCAGCGCACUUCCCUGCAGUGAGCCAGGCUGCACCCAAGAGGGCUAUGACC
rnacentral:lncRNA from 1 species